CAAACCAAAGCUGGCGACCGGCGCACGGGUGAGUAACACGUAUCCAACCUGCCUCAUACUCGGGGAUAGCCUUUCGAAAGAAAGAUUAAUAUCCGAUAGCAUAUAUUUCCCGCAUGGGUUUUAUAUUAAAGAAAUUGGUAUGAGAUGGGGAUGCGUUCCAUUAGUUUGUUGGGGGGUAACGGCCCACCAAGACUACGAUGGAUAGGGGUUCUGAGAGGAAGGUCCCCCACAUUGGAACUGAGACACGGUCCAA
rnacentral:rRNA from 1 species